GUGUCAUUUGAUGAUGUGGCUGUGGACUUCAGCUGGGAGGAGUGGCAGGACUUGGAUCUUGUUCAGAGGACCCUGUAUAGAGAUGUAAUGCUGGAGACCUACGGCAACCUGGUGUCCUUGGGGCCCUGUGUUCCUAAACCUAACUUGAUUGUCAAGCUGGAGGAAGGUGCAGAACCAUGGAUAGGAGAAGCCUCAGACAAGAAUUACACAAAUGUCCAAGAAAUGGAGGAUGUGAUUAAGAACU